UAUUUGAAAGCGAAAAAUUGCGCUAAGUUUCGGCCUUAGUUUUGGGUAUAACCCUCAAAUAU
rnacentral:tRNA from 1 species